CAGCCCCGACGGCAGCCCACGGUAGCUUGUGCUGGAUACUGAAGUUGCUAGAAAAUAUACCUCCAGCAAUCAAGGCUCUUACAUACAUUUUUAACUUAUAGUGCUUAGCUUCCCAAACGAGAUUCAACCAUCGUUUAGCCUAAUACACUGGAACCGUAUUCACAUCAUCAUUCAUUUUUAAGUUUUCCCCGUAAGAAAGAUGAUGCAGCACCUGCUGUCAAGAAAUUUCCUUGUAGUCGGUUUACUUAUGACAACAGCUCUGCCGUUGUUGACGGAAGGCGGAAUCAUUUCUUACGGAAUAUGCCAAACCGGUUGUAACGCUUUGGCCGUCGCCUGUUACGCGGCAGCAGGAUUUACCUUCGGAGUGCCGACAUGGGGUGCCGCCAUACCUGCAGCGCUUGUAUCGUGUAACAAUGCUUUAGGAGUCUGCAUGACGGUUUGUGCUUUGGUUAUACCUCUCCCAGCACCAUAAGGGAUGAACAGCAACAACAACAACAAACAAUAGUAUAAGAAUAAUCCAUAAUGUUUUAAAACGCAUCAGCUUAUUAUGGUUUUAUUUUUGACCGCAACCUUAAAUCCGUGUUGAUUGCACAUUCAUCAAAUAAAAAAUGAAAUCGAUUGCUGAUUAACCAAAAAUGGCAUGUGAAGUGUUAUCAAAGCGUAUAAAAAUACUUGCGUGUAUAACUGCAUGCUACAAAGUAAAAUAUUCGAAUAUAAAAAGACUGGAACAUCUUUAGACAAUGUCACAACUGCUGUAACAGUUAAUUUCACAGACUUUGUGAACUUGAAUAACAGCAGAUAAAGAGGCUAAUAUGUAGUGGAAUGUUAAGUCUCAGGUUGUAAAGGAUAUUCUAUCUCUAUUGUUCAGUAUUAUGAUAUCCUUAAUUGUUUAUCUGUAUUUGUAUCAGGCACGCUACGCAAACGGACGGAAUAAACGAAAAAAAUUGCAUGAAUGAAUCACACGGGCUCGGACACAACGAU